rnacentral:lncRNA from 1 species
UCAAAUCAAAGUGGGAAAGGCUAUAUACAGUGGUCAAAGUAUUCCCGCAGUAGAGAUCAGAAAAUCAGAACCUGAGAAGACAUUAAAGUCAAUGGUCACCAAUUAAAGAACUUUUAGGAGAAACAGCCUCUGGAUUGAAUAAGAUUUCUUUUUCCUUAUCCAUUUUUAAUUUUUGUUUUUGAUUUUAAUUUUUUUUUGUUCCUUUUGUGGAAUAACUGUCUGCUGGUAGCCCACAUGUCUUUUUCACAUGUUUUUUGUUUUUCUGUUUUCGGUGUUGUGUUAUCUGUUUUUGUUUGACAAAAAUUUGGCAAAAUUUUUUGUUUUCUGUUUCUGUAUUUAGCUUCUGUUUCAGUUGUGAAAAUUUGUAUGUCCGAAAAAGAGUUGUCUUAGUAUUUUGUUUAGUUUUUUUAGUAGUUCUUCUAGGUACUUUUGUUUCACUCUUUGCUUACUUUUUGCGGACUGACAUGAUGAAAGUUGUGGUUCUUUUAGUUUGAGAUUGCUGAGUGUGUCAUUAGAUCUAAAUUUGAGUAGAUGAUUUCUAGCGGUCUUUUUUUGCAUUUUGAUUCAAUUGAGUUAAGUAGUUUUUCCAUGAUAGAGAAGUAGCAUUUCAGUUUUGACAAAUAUGAACCCCUGAGAGACUUUGAGCCUUAAUUCUUCAUUUUUGUGUGAUUGCAUGCAUGGAGGGUUACAUUUCGGAAUUUGCACUGAUUCUUUUUGGUAUGCUUGGCCUUGGAUGCACUCUAGAUAUGAUUUAGGCCCUUUUUGUUCCAGCCACUUAGCCAAAAAUGACUCACCCUGAUAUUUUGCCAUUGCACCUGAUUUUUUGAGCUUGAAUUGACCUUUCCUUCUUUAAUUACCCUGUUACAAGCCAAGAGACCUGAAAAACCAUGAAUUACCUAACUUGUGAGUAUAAGAAGGUCAAGGUGCAUGUGCAGUUGCUGAUUUGAAAAAAAAAUAUCAAAAUUGGUUGAGUGUUAAAACAAUGUCUGAAAUGACUGAAAAAGAAAAAAAAAUGAGGAAAGAAAAAGUGGUCUGAAUCAUACAAAAAGAAAAAAAAUGAGGAAAGAAAAAGAUGUAAAAAAGAAGAGUGGGUCAUAGAAUUACUUGAGCUGAAAAUGCACUUGAAUUUCAUACUACCACCUUGCUUUCUCAUGCUCACAGGUUCAUAGCUUUGAAUUCCUUUUCUGAANCCUACCCCCAACCUGACCACANUACAAGCUGAGAUGAANUCCUAGUGAUUUNGAGUGUGNCUUGGAUUAAGUGAUGCUAGUUAGAAGCUUUUCAAAUUCAUGAACUGUGCUUUGUCAUGUUUUGCUGAGUGAUAUAUACAAGCCAAUACACAUUNAGCGGUUGAGUGCAAACACUUUUCUUGUGAGGUGAAAUCUGAGAUGUUGUUGAUCUUGAUUGUUUCCUACUUGAUUUUGAUUGAAUUAAUAUGUGUUUUUUGACUUGUUGGCUUUCAUGAAACUUGAAUUUGGAGGGUUGAUGGCCAUUUGGCANAUUUAAGCUAGAGUAAUACAGCUGAGUUGUGCAAAUUUGUAAAUAGAAGUGAAUUGUGAUAGUUUGUUUAGAAUUGUGUCAGUUUUGUUUGCCCAGUCCAAGAGGGUAGUGUUCUAAGCGUGGGUCUGUGUUAACCUUGCAUUUUUUAUCCUUUUUCCUUCAUAAAAUUUCCUUCUUAGUGUUAAUUACUUUGUAAAAUUUUAGAAUUAGGUUAGACUUUAGUUUUAAGUGCACAAAUAGAGGUUUGUAGAUAUUAUUUUUAAAAUUGUUUUUAAAUAAAAAUUGUGUCUAGAAUAAAAGGCUGUCAACGGUAAAUAUUCCUUAUUGAAUUAAGGCCAUGAUUUGAUUUUACAAGCUUGCCUGAAAAUUGUAUUCUAUAUGUGAUAUAAUUCAUGAUGAAAUAGUUAACCAAACGCCUUGGUAUUAAUUUGCAGAUAUUCAGCAAUUACAAUUUGAAGCCCAGCAUCCGUGGUUGUGACAUGCAGAAAUUUGUGAAAUUUUUUGUAAUUAUCAGAUGUUUCAAAUCACUUCAGAACCUCACAACAUA